UUGAUUAUUGAUAGAUAAUGAGGAUUUUUUUGUGGUUUUUUUUUCAGACCAACAAACAUUUAAAUGCUGCUAUAAAAAUGUGUUAUUUGGUUAUUCAAUGCAUUGACGUUUUGUAAUAUGAAUGAAAGUGGUACACCUGGUACGCAUGAUGUUAUUUUUUAUUCUUCGAACGAUAUUGAUGACAUCAAAGUUCUUUCAACACAGAUAAUUCAUGUAGAAUUACCAGUAGAUUCUGCAUUUGGAAUAGAUAGAAAAGAAACACCAGAGGAGGAACAUCGAAGAAAGAGAAUUAAUCGCCUAGUCGGAUUCUUCGCUUCAUUGAUUUUCCUAACAUGUGUUGUUCUUGUUUGCUCUUCCAUGAUGAUGUCAAAAAAUAUUGAUGAACUCGUGAGACAAUCUAACGUUUUGCUAAGACAAAAGACAGUUGCCAAAACAACUAUGCACACGCCAAUGUUAAUUGAAGUUUCCAACUCCACAGAGCCGUGAAAUACGAUGAAUUCAUACCAGUGAUAAACAAUGAGAAAAUUUCCUAUGAUGAUCUCCAUCGGAAGUUUGGAUAGUGGAUAUGUAUAAUCAAUGUAGAAAAAUUAUCUGCAAUACUCUAGACGUAUCAAUUACCGCAGAUGAUAGAAAAGUGAAAAGCGUUGAUCAAAAUACACAUGGUACCGAAUUAAUAUGCGAUUAUGUAGAAGUCUAGUUGGAGAAUGCUCUGACGUCUUAAGUCACUGAAAAUAAUCUCAGACUAGUAGAAGACAUGUUACAUGUCUUAGGAAGUAACUAAGAAAUACAAUUCUUAUGUAUAAAAUGUCCAUCCUCCGUUAAAAUUACAUUACAUGAUGGUCAUUUGCUUAGAUGUAUAUAAAUAAAGUUUUUAAAGUUGCUUCUAAUGGACGAAUCAAUAAAUUUUUGAAGGGGAUGUCACAAAUACGAAUGUUCAUAACAUUUAAAUUUUUUUAUUACAACUAAAGUUAUGAAGAUAGUUACAAAGCAAAAUUAUAUUAAUGGUUACCGACAUGAUUUACAAUUUUUGUUCUAAUUUAAUUAUUAUUGAAUGUCUACCAGUCUACAAUCGCACAGGUCAACGAUCAUAUUUAAAUCUUAUUGUAUAUUAUAAUACGCGUUCAUUAGUCAUAAUCAAUUAAAUCAUUCCAAACUCUGAAUCAUUGUUGUUUCAGAAACCUGAGCUCACUAUUCGAACGCUCUCAUUUGCAGCUGGUUACACUCAUAGUAAAACAUUUUAAGAAUGGCCAGGAUUUUUGAAUAUUUACAUGUAAACUUUAUAUGUAUUCCUUAAUGCUUUCAGCUGCUGGCUUAGGCAAUGUUUUAACGCAACCAAAUAUCUACUUUGAAAGAUAGAUCAUUUAGGAUAGGCAAGUUGGAGUUGUAAAAACCUUUCGGGAUCUUCUGUUUUUUUCGUAAUGCUAUUGUACAUGUUAUGUACACCUUCAAAUCUAAUUAAAUUUGUUAGUAAUUUUCAUUGGCUGACGUUUUCAUUACUAGAACAGAAUUUAGAACAGAAAGUUGUCAAAUCCUUGUUAGAAAAGCGUGGACAUAGAAUCUGUAUUUUAAUCAGAUUUGUCAUGAGAUAAAAUGAUUCGUAUGCCAUCGGUGAAGUAUAUAUCUUUAAAAAUUUUAUCUUUUUUUGGAUCUCAGUCUUGUCUUCAAUUGACUUGCCAACAAGAAAAUUGAAACCUUCAUGAGACCAAAAAUCUUACGAGAAAAAAAUGCUGGCAAUCAUGAACAAAUUUAUAUAACUUACGAUCCAUUUAGCUAGCUAAACCUCCCACUUGUAUAACAGUUGUUAAUAAUUCCGUUAAAUUUACAUAAUUUGGUGAGCAACCCAAACAGACAUAAUAGGUUCAUGUGACGAAAAUUAAAAAGAGCCCGUGGUGUCACCAAACGCAGCACGCUUAUGACUACUUUUUUUAAUAAUGUCAAGUCCAAAUCUGCAGAGCAUUUAUUUUCCUUCUCUAAUUAUAGUAAUUGUAUAACAAUUGAAGCAUAAUGUUUUAUUUACAAACUUUGGUUUUGAUCUACAUGUAUAUAAUCAUUUAAACAUUUUAAAAUGUCUAAAUGUAAUGAUCUUGGUCAUUAUUUGCGUCAAUUUCGUAACAGAUAAAAGGUACCGACACAGGAGAUAAAGUGGUAGUUUAACUUGAUAAAAAGCUUGUAUCUAAGCGGAUUUGUCGGAUCACGUUUAUAAUAAAGACCACUAAAACCAUCAGUUCCAGAUUCCAAAUAUUCACCUAUAGAAUCGGUACUGCCUCUUACAAAUUGAAUAAUGUUCUUCACUUUUAAUAAAAAGAAAUCAAAGAUUAGGGAUUUCAACGGCGGAGCUGCUUGUUCUAAUUGUUCAUCUUCCUGAUAAGCAUCAUUGCUAACCGUCAUUUGAUUGUACGAAUACUAAUUAAACCAACUUUAAGUAUACCACG